UCGUAGGGUGCAAGCGUUAAUCGGAAUUACUGGGCGUAAAGCGUGCGCAGGCGGCUUUGCAAGACAGAUGUGAAAUCCCCGGGCUCAACCCUGGGAACUGCAUUUGUGACUGCAUGGCUGGAGUGCGGCAGAGGGGGAUGGAAUUCCGCGUGUAGCAGUGAAAUGCGUAGAUAUGCGGAGGAACACCGAUGGCGAAGGCAAUCCCCUGGGCCUGCACUGACGCUCAUGCACGAAAGCGUGGGGAGCAACAGG
rnacentral:rRNA from 1 species